UACAUGGGGUGCAAACGUUGCUCGGAAUUAUUGGGCGUAAAGGGCGCGUAGGCGGCCUUCUAAGUCGAACGUGAAAUCCCUGGGCUCAACCCAGGAACUGCGUCCGAUACUGGAAGGCUUGAAUCCGGGAGAGGGAUGCGGAAUUCCAGGUGUAGCGGUGAAAUGCGUAGAUAUCUGGAGGAACACCGGUGGCGAAGGCGGCAUCCUGGACCGGCAUUGACGCUGAGGCGCGAAAGCUAGGGGAGCAAACGGGG
rnacentral:rRNA from 1 species